GGGGCUGUAGCUCAAUUGGCUAGAGCACCUCAUUUGCAAUGAGGAGGUUGGUGGUUCGAUUCCACUCAGCUCCA
rnacentral:tRNA from 1 species